AUGUUCGCUUGCCCAGUUUUGCCGUUUGGGCAUGUGAAAGUGAAACAGAAGAAGCACCGUGCGCGUGCGCGUACAAAAGCCACCAGAGCGCGGCCGAACGGUGGCGCUAAAAACGGGUCCGUGCCGUGCCGUGCCUCCCCCAAUUCCCGUUCCCAAAAAUAUCCUCCCCACCGCCACCGCCACCGGAUAUUCCACCCCGCCCCGGGAGCCAAGCCGAGCCAAAGGCCGCCGCAGCGAAUGGCUCCGCCCGCCGCCGGCAGGCCCUCGGCCUCCGCCGCGCCGGAGCCUCCCCUGCGGGAGGCCGCCAAGCGCCGACGCGCGCCCGCGUGCGCCGGCGCCGGGGCGCGCAUCGUCUCCUUGGGCGUGCGGGGCGCCGUGAUGGUCGCCGCGCUCGUGCUCUUCCUCCUCUUCGCCGCCGCCGCGGUCAUCCUCAUGCUCGCGCUCCUCGUCGCCGCGCGCGCCUUCCGCCAGCAGGGCCGCCGUCGGCACCGCGCCCGGCCCGACUCCUCCGCCCCGCCGCCGCCCCCCGCCGUCGGCCUCCCGUCCGCCAAAAUCCGCCUCCUGCCCAGCUUCGUGCCCUGCCCGUGCGACGGCGGCGGCGACCCUUCCUCGCCGCGGAUCUGCCCCGUCUGCCUCGACGCCGCGCGCGCCGGGGAGCGGUGGCGCGCGCUGCCCGCCUGCGGCCACGCGUUCCACGCGGCCUGCGUCGACCGGUGGCUCCUCUUGUCGCCGGGGUGCCCCGUCUGCCGCGCCACGGUGGCCGUCCCCGUCAGCUGA
rnacentral:rRNA from 1 species